GCCCGGCCACAGUGGGUUUUAUUUAACAGUUAACUGGCUCAUGCUUUAGGGGAGGCAGAAUAGUUGAAAGAACCAGCUAGGAAUCAGAAGACUUGGUCUGUAAUUAUGACUUGCCUGAAACUCUAAGUGACCUUUGGAAAGCCACGAAACCUUUACUGUCUUUUUUCUUACAGGACAAUCAUGAGAGAUUGAUCUCUAAGUCUGAAAUUGGCACUCCAGUGUUUUCUGAAUGAAAACACACAGUAAAUUCUUUGAUUCGGGAGUAAAAACUACUCCAAAACUCCACAAGAGGGCAGCUCCUCCACACCUGAAUGGCCUCAGAGACCUUCCAGGCACCUUUGAGUAUUCAAAGAAUGCUGCAUUGAAUAUUUCAGUACUGUACUUUCAAAAAAGUGAAGAGCCUCACAAGACUUCAUGGGAUAAGACACAAACACCUGCAAAGCUGACUCAUGAAAGGAGACAAGGCACUACUAUGACAGUGGAUUGUGGGAGCUGUGAGUUCAGAAAGACCCCUGUGUGAGGAGCACACGUGUGACCUUCUGGAGCGUCUGGGCACUCCUCUCUGCUACAGAACUACAAAUGCUGUUUGGAGACCAGGAGCAGGGAUAUCCACGGAAUCUGAAAGUGCUUCUCUCCUUCCGUCCUCUCAACCUUCCAUCACUGCACUGCUGUGGCUAAAAGGAGACCAAAAGACUGACACCAGGUGGCAAAGGGAAUCUAAGAGAUGCAGCAGGCAGUGCCCCAGCCCUCUCAGUAAUUAGCAGUGCACAGAAGGGAGCAGAGGAAAAAAGCAGUAUAAUAAGAGAGGGAAGGAUCAGCUUCCAAAUGCUUGAACACCUAUGUUUCCAAGCCACGUAUUGAGGAAUUCAUCUCUUGGCCUCUCCACUCCAACCUGAAUCUCUCUGAUUGCUGUAUUCAGCUGUCCCAGCUGGAGAAACCACACUGAACUCUUCAAGGGCAAAAGCCAAGGUUUGACUUUGCUCCCUCUGAUCCCUGCUAGUGUACCUAGCAGCGUGCUGAGCACAUAACAACUGCCCACAGGAUGAGAUGGUAAACUGGAGAACUUGCUUGGCAAUCACAAGAAAACAGGGCAGUGGUGGUGAGAUCUGGGAUGCGUGCUUUCAAGGUGAUGGCAUCAUGGAGGGAAACCACCUUUUUCCUGUGCUUGCUUCCUUGCAUUUGUCACCCCUUCCUUUUUCCCUCCACAUCCCCACAAGUCACACAGUGAGGAACCAGAAACACAGCAACUUUUGGCUUUUGGCACAGCGAGGCUGGGGUCCCCAGCUUCUCUCGGUCUCACUGAGUGUUGGACUUACAACAACGGUCCUGACAUCAAGAUAUUCUGCGGGAAAUCGGGUGAGAGGGUGGGAGGGGAGGGAGGAAUCACAAAUAAAGAUUUGGUUUUGUCCAUUAAGAGUUGAAAAGAAAGUUGUUCAUAGCCUCGGGCUUGCUUGUUGAUUUCAUGUGGCCAAGUGUCCCACUGGGGGAGUUUGCAGGCACAUGGACUUGAUUUUUUGCGGGGUCAUAGUUUCUUAACCUUCCUCCAGUUCAUUCCCUGCCUGCGUUCUCUUCUCUCAC
rnacentral:lncRNA from 1 species